rnacentral:rRNA from 1 species
ACGGAAUAGAUACCCAGGUAGUCCACGCCCUAAACGAUGUCAACUGGUUGUUGGGAAUUCAUUUUCUCAGUAAACGAAAGCUAAACGCGUGAAGUUGACCGCCUGGGGAGUACGGCCGCAAGGCUAAAACUCAAAGGAAUUGACGGGGACCCGCACAAGCGGUGGAUGAUGUGGUUUAAUUCGAUGCAACGCGAAAAACCUUACCCACCCUUGACAUGUACGGAACUUGCCAGAGAUGGCUUGGUGCCCGAAAGGGAGCCGUAACACAGGUGCUGCAUGGCUGUCGUCAGCUCGUGUCGUGAGAUGUUGGGUUAAGUCCCGCAACGAGCGCAACCCUUGCCAUUAGUUGCUACGAAAGGGCACUCUAAUGGGACUGCCGGUGACAAACCGGAGGAAGGUGGGGAUGACGUCAAGUCCUCAUGGCCCUUAUAGGUGGGGCUACACACGUCAUACAAUGGCUGGUACAGAGGGUUGCCAACCCGCGAGGGGGAGCUAAUCCCACAAAGCCAGUCGUAGUCCGGAUCGCAGUCUGCAACUCGACUGCGUGAA